CCCUUCCCGGGCCCGCCUCCCCACACCCACCCCUGCCCGAGCGGCUCCGAGCCGCCGGCUGGAGACCCGCGACCCCCGGCCUCGGCCCGCGCCACCACGCUGCAGUUCCGGGCGGCGCUGUGCGUUACACUCUGGCGCGGGCUUCAAGGUGUGUUCGGGGAGACCUGGGCGGGGUGCAGAACCUGAGUUUGCACUGGAAUCCUCCGCAGCCUAGGAUUCCGAGCCGCCCGAAAGCCCUGCGCUUGACACUGGGGAGAACGAAGACCAGACGGCGCUGCCCCGCAGCCAAUACAAGGAGAACCGGAUGCUACCGCUCCACGCCUCCCACUGGCCCGGCGCGCUUAGCCUUCACGGUGCUUCUCUCCACCCGCCUCAUUGUCCAGGGUCAACUCUGGUGUCACCGUCACCAUUUCCUGAGAAAGAAGGGAGGCCCAAGAGUUCACCUCCCACGUGGACACACUGCCGACAGCGGUCUCCCCUGAGGUCCAUUUCCUGCCUGGAGCUGUCACCUGCACCACACUUUAGGGUGCUCGAGGUUGCAAUUAAGCAUUACUUUACAAAAAAAGCAGGAGCUACAAUUACCAGGUCACGGCAACCCCAUGAGAAACCCGACCUCUGAGCCAGGUAACAGCGAGAGGGUGAACUGUUCACCGUACGGGACAAACAGAGUUAGCCCUACUGGGGCUGCGGGAUCCAAGAAGCUUCUGCACCAAUGUCCUGAACUAGAACCUGGAAUAUGAAGAGUGGAGAAACAUAUUCUUGGUCAACAGCCAAAGGAGACACUUCGGGUUUAAAAACCAACCCAACGGCUGGGGAUGCAGCUCAGAGGUACAGGUCUUGCUUAGUAUGUGUGGGGACCCCGGUACAACCUCCAUUACCACACACACACAAAAAAAAUCCCAAACCACACAUGUGCACUCUUUGAAGGAUGUACAAUAUGCAAAUAAUAAUUAUACUGGUUACCUUCAAGGACGAAUGGACUAAGAUUUCAUUAUGUACUUUUUAGAAAUUCUAUCCUGAGUACACAUACUACCUCUUUUUAAAAAUUAAUUUAUUAAGGGACUGGGGAUUUAGCUCAGCGGCACAGCGCCUGCCUGGCAAGCGCAAGGUCAUGAGUUUGAUUCCUGGUACCGGAAAAAAACAAAAAAACACAAAAACAAACAAAAAAAUUAACUUAUUAAAAUCAAACUUCAUGCAACUUUCCAAUAAACAGGUUUACUAGAGGUGGGCAAACUGCCCAGACUCAGUAUACCUAACUGUCCACAUGCUGACCUGGAUUUACUGUUUUAGGGGAGUUUGCUCAGCUAUGCAUCAUCAGGAUAGGUGUCUUAGCUAGUACAUGGUUGUAAAAUUUGCCAAAAUUCGCCCAGCUAUGGCUUUAAGGUGUGUGCAUCUGCUGUGUGUUCUUGUUAUGGUUUGUGUCUGCAUGUCCCCUCAAAUCCUCAUGCAUCAUGGGACGGGCUUUUAAGAGUUUAUAAUUGAUUCUUGGUCCAAUGAUGGGAUUAUGGAUGUGAGGGCUACACCUGCCCUGGGGCGGAUAGUUUGCAUACAAUGUAAGGGAGGGAAAGAGGCUGCCUGCUGCCCCUCCUCCCUUUUGCCCUCGUUGCCUUUGCUGUUUUCUGCCGAACAUUUGCCCUCUGCCAUGUGCCACUCUGCCUCGGAGCCAACCAAGUAUGUACUGAAACAUCCACAAACUGUGAGCUAAAUAAACCUUUCCUUCCUUAAUUUUGCGCGCUGGGUAUUUUGUCUCAGCAACGAGAGAAAAGUAGCUGAGACAGUUCUGUCCUGCGCUUCAAUUCAGAAUUGCUAACGAUGAUGACAGCCCCAGCCCUUGUGUACAAAUAAGCCGGUUUGAGGGCUUGCUGGACCGGUAGUUCAGAGAAGGCUGCUGUUUUCAGAAAACAACACUAUGUGGACUUUCUGCAAAACCGUGCUCUUUGGAAAACACCACUACAGCAUGUGCUUUUGGUUAAGCAUUCCACAGCUGAAACGCAACUCUGCGCUGAAACGCUGAGAGGAUGAGGCACAAUCUUGGCCAAGGUCAAGCUCUGCUGAUGGGUCGGGGGGAUGGCAGCCAACUGCUCCGCACUUAUAUAAUGUUUCAAAAAGAAAAACUUACCCCAAGUCAUCUUCUGUUCCUUUUCUGAGCCAACGUUAGUCCCGUUCAUUGCAUCCAAGAACUCAGAGAAAGCCGUAUGUGCUAUGGCUCAGACCACCCCUCCAGGGCCCAACACCCGUAUCUUGAUUUAAAGGAAACGAAGCCAACUGACUGGGCUUUCACCAGCUCUAAGGGAUGCGAGUGAGCUGUCUGAACCUUGCACACAGUUAGCAAUCUUCUAGGAGCGGGCACAGAAAUGUACUUGAGCCUUCUUUUCGGCUAGCUGAUUAUUUUUUCUGGAAUGACAACAAAAAAGAUCCAUAUUUGGUAGAAAUCAGGACUCCCUUUAGGCAGUGACGGCGAACUUUUUAGAGCUUUCAAUGACAUAAACAGCCUGCUGUAGCACACGUGCCAUAGGUUCGCCACCACU
rnacentral:lncRNA from 1 species